UAGAUACCCUGGUAGUCCACGCCGUAAACGAUGGAUGCUAGCCGUUGGCAGGCUUGCCUGUCAGUGGCGCAGCUAACGCAUUAAGCAUCCCGCCUGGGGAGUACGGUCGCAAGAUUAAAACUCAAAGGAAUUGACGGGGGCCCGCACAAGCGGUGGAGCAUGUGGUUCAAUUCGAAGCAACGCGCAGAACCUUACCAACCUUUGACAUGUCCCGUAUGGGUACCAGAGAUGGAACCCUUCAGUUCGGCUG
rnacentral:rRNA from 1 species